AUUGAACGCUGGCGGCAUGCUUUACACAUGCAAGUCGAACGGUAACAGGCCGCAAGGUGCUGACGAGUGGCGAACGGGUGAGUAAUGCAUCGGAACGUGCCCAGUCGUGGGGGAAACGCAGCGAAAGCUGUGCUAAUACCGCAUACGAUCUAUGGAUGAAAGCGGGGGACCGUAAGGCCUCGCGCGAUUGGAGCGGCCGAUGUCAGAUUAGGUUGUUGGUGGGGUAAAAGCCUACCAAGCCGACGAUCUGUAGCUGGUCUGAGAGGACGACCAGCCACACUGGGACUGAGACACGGCCCAGACUCCUACGGGAGGCAGCAGUGGGGAAUUUUGGACAAUGGGGGCAACCCUGAUCCAGCCAUGCCGCGUGCGGGAAGAAGGCCUUCGGGUUGUAAACCGCUUUUGUCAGGGAAGAAACGCUCUGAGUUAAUACCUCGGGGUAAUGACGGUACCUGAAGAAUAAGCACCGGCUAACUACGUGCCAGCAGCCGCCGUAA
rnacentral:rRNA from 1 species